GAGGAGGGGGCCCCUGCCUCCAAAAUGCAUCUCUCUGGGGGACAUGACACCAAAGCUAAGAGUCCAAUCAAGCAGGAGAGACCAGCCUCCCCUGUUCCCAGCUGUGUGUCCAUGAAGAGUGACUGGUCUAUGGAACCUCCUAUGAAGUUUAGAGGGGGGAGACUUUUCUACUGAACAAAGUCCAAUCAAGCAGGAGAG